UACAUAUUUAUAUAUAACUUAAUGUAAGGAUGUUAAAUCACGUCCGUCCAUCAAGGACGUGUCCAGAUACAUCCUAACUGUAAGAUCUACCGUAUCUUUAUAGAUCGACUUAAAUAGAUUGACUGUAUCUUUAUGGAUCGCCUUAAAUAUAUCACGUGGGCCACAUCCAACAUUCUCCCACUUGGUCUAGUGAUAUAUUCAUUACUGUAGAGGCGAUACAAAACUUUAUUAGGUACCAACUAAAUUAUACAGUCAAAAUCUCCCACUCGACCAAGAAAUCACAAUACUUUGAUCAUAGCGGUUAUGCCCCAAAAGAUGAACACUUCCUUGCAUGUAUCAAAAGUACGAAUUCCUUAAUCAAAUAACUUUAUGAGUUACAACCGUAUGAACUUAUUAUAAGUUCAACUCAGAGUCCCACUUUAGUGCACAAUAAAACUUUAAUGUACAAAAAUAACUUUAUGCGCAUAUGUGCAAAAACCAAAAUAUGUUCUUACUCAAAUA
rnacentral:lncRNA from 1 species